AUUGAACGCUGGCGGCAUGCCUUACACAUGCAAGUCGAACGGCAGCACGGGAGCAAUCCUGGUGGCGAGUGGCGAACGGGUGAGUAAUAUAUCGGAACGUGCCCAGUCGUGGGGAUAACGUAGCGAAAGCUACGCUAAUACCGCAUACGAUCUAUGGAUGAAAGCGGGGGAUCGCAAGACCUCGCGCGAUUGGAGCGGCCGAUAUCAGAUUAGGUAGUUGGUGAGGUAAAGGCUCACCAAGCCGACGAUCUGUAGCUGGUCUGAGAGGACGACCAGCCACACUGGGACUGAGACACGGCCCAGACUCCUACGGGAGGCAGCAGCGGGGAAUAUUGGACAAUGGGCGAAAGCCUGAUCCAGCAAUGCCGCGUGAGUGAUGAAGGCCUUAGGGUUGUAAAGCUCUUUUACCCGAGAUGAUAAUGACAGUAUCGGGAGAAUAAGCUCCGGCUAACUCCGUGCCAGCAGCCG
rnacentral:rRNA from 1 species